rfam:Oryzias latipes DNA, scaffold1395, strain: Hd-rR.
CAAAAGGCCCUUUUAAGGGCCACUAACUUCUCUCUAGAGCAAAGAAU